AGGAAACGACAAAGGGAAGAAGAGAUUGAAGCUCAAGAAAAAGCGAAACGAGAAAGAGAGUGGCAGAAAAACUUUGAGGAAAGUCGAGAUGGUCGUGUGGACAGCUGGCGAAACUUCCAAGCAAAUACAAAGGGGAAGAAAGAGAAGAAAAAUCGGACCUUCCUGAGACCACCGAAAGUAAAAAUGGAGCAGCGUGAGUGACCACCUAGGGUCACAGCCACAGAACCUUCCCCCAGCUGUCUCCCUUCCUGCUUUGAAGGACUCAUUCUUUCCUCCCACUUCCACCCCAACAUAGAGUAGUAUUUGCUUUUUAGCCCAUUUUGUUUUCAAUACAAUUUAAUAUUGAUCAGAGUAAUUCUUUUGUACAUUGAAAUGAGGGGCUUGGUUAACAAAAGACCUUCCCCUACCCCCGCCCCUAGAACAACCAGAUUGGAAGGUGCCACCAUUGGUGCUGCCUUCUCUUCCCACAGCCAGUAACUUAAUGUUUUGUACUUCACUGAAUUGUGAUGGUUAGAAACUUCGUGUAUAGUUUGUGGAAAUCAUCCAAUUAAACAUAUUGCUUAAAAUGGUGUUGCCGUGACUUCAGAGACAAGCCUGAGCCACCUUAGGGAGCCCCUUCAAUUCAGUUGCUUGCUUCUGGGUGUGCCAUUCUUGAAAGCCCCAGAUAAGGCAGGGAAGGCAGUGUGGGCACCCAGAGCAGUCACCUGAUGCCCUGGUACCCUGUGGUGUUUGGCAUGUGCCCUCUCAUCUGACUGACCAGUCAGCGUGGCAUGAGGCCCCAAGCAACCUAAACCUGUCCACUUUCCAAAGAACUAGCCAUCCUCCAUUCAAUACCGUGGUAUCCUAGUCUGUCUGCAUUCAUUAGUGGUAAUGUUCUUUAUGUAUAAUAAAUUUUUAUACCCAAA